GGGGGUAUAGCUCAAUGGUAAAAACACAUGCCUGGAAUGCACAAGGUCCUGGGUUCAAUCCCUAGUGCCUCCA
rnacentral:tRNA from 1 species